rnacentral:rRNA from 1 species
AGGACGAACGCUGGCGGCGUGCUUAACACAUGCAAGUCGAGCGGAAAGGCCCUUCGGGGUACUCGAGCGGCGAACGGGUGAGUAACACGUGAGUAAUCUGCCCCUAGCUCUGGGAUAGCUUCGGGAAACCGGGAUUAAUACCAGAUACGACCACUUUAGACAUCUUCUGUGGUGGAAAGAACUUCGGCUAGGGAUGAACUCGCGGCCUAUCAGCUUGUUGGUGAGGUAACGGCUCACCAAGGCGACGACGGGUA